GGAAUUUUGGGCAAUGGGGGAAACCCUGACCCAGCAACGCCGCGUGAAGGAUGAAGUUUUUCGGAAUGUAAACUUCGUAAGAAUAGGAAGAAUCAAUGACGGUACUAUUUGUAAGCUCCGGCUAACUACGUGCCAGCAGCCGCGGUAAUACGUAGGGAGCAAGCGUUGUUCGGAUUUACUGGGCGUAAAGGGCGCGUAGGCGGCGCGGUAAGUCACUUGUGAAAUCUCUGAGCUUAACUCAGAACGGCCAAGUGAUACUGCAGUGCUAGAGUGCAGAAGGGGCAAUCGGAAUUCUUGGUGUAGCGGUGAAAUGCGUAGAUAUCAAGAGGAACACCUGAGGUGAAGACGGGUUGCUGGGCUGACACUGACGCUGAGGCGCGAAAGCUAGGGGAGCAAAC
rnacentral:rRNA from 1 species